rnacentral:rRNA from 1 species
AGUGGCGGACGGGUGAGUAACACGUGGGCAACCUGCCCUAAAGAGGGGGAUAACACCGAGAAAUCGGUGCUAAUACCGCAUGAAAUUAGAGUUUCGCAUGAAGCUUUAAUCAAAGGAGCAAUCCGCUUUAGGAUGGGCCCGCGUCUGAUUAGCUAGUUGGUGAGGUAACGGCUCACCAAGGCGACGAUCAGUAGCCGAUCUGAGAGGAUGACCGGCCACACUGGAACUGAGACACGGUCCAGACUCCUACGGGAGGCAGCAGUGGGGAAUAUUGCACAAUGGGGGAAACCCUGAUGCAGCAACGCCGCGUGGAGGAAGAAGGUCUUCGGAUUGUAAACUCCUGUCUUCUGGGACGAAAUAUGACGGUACCAGAGGAGGAAGCCACGGCUAACUACGUGCCAGCAGCCGCGGUAAUACGUAGGUGGCAAGCGUUGUCCGGAAUUACUGGGCGUAAAGGGCGUGUAGGCGGGGAAGCAAGUCAGAUGUGAAAUUCCGAGGCUUAACCUCGGCGCUGCAUCUGAAACUGUUUCUCUUGAGUGCUGGAGAGGAAAGUGGAAUU